rnacentral:rRNA from 1 species
UACGUAGGGCGCAAGCGUUGUCCGGAAUUAUUGGGCGUAAAGAGCUCGUAGGCGGCCAGUUGCGUCUGCUGUGAAAUCCCGGGGCUCAACCCCGGGCGUGCAGUGGAUACGGGCUGGCUAGAGGCAGGCAGGGGAGAACGGAAUUCCCGGUGUAGCGGUGAAAUGCGCAGAUAUCGGGAGGAACACCAGUGGCGAAGGCGACUAUCUGGGCUGCAACUGACGCUGAGGCGCGAAGGCUAGGGGAGCAAACAGG